rnacentral:rRNA from 1 species
GAUGAACGCUGGCGGCGUGCCUAAUACAUGCAAGUCGAGCGAACAGACGAGGAGCUUGCUCCUCUGACGUUAGCGGCGGACGGGUGAGUAACACGUGGAUAACCUACCUAUAAGACUGGGAUAACUUCGGGAAACCGGAGCUAAUACCGGAUAAUAUAUUGAACCGCAUGGUUCCAUAGUGAAAGACGGUUUUGCUGUCACUUAUAGAUGGAUCCGCGCCGCAUUAGCUAGUUGGUAAGGUAACGGCUUACCAAGGCGACGAUGCGUAGCCGACCUGAGAGGGUGAUCGGCCACACUGGAACUGAGACAGGGUCCAGACACCUACGGGAGGCAGCAGUAGGGAAUCUUACGCAAUGGGCGAAAGCCUGACGGAGCAACGCCGCGUGAGUGAUGAAGGCCUUCGGAUCGUAAAACUCUGUUAUUAGGGAAGAACAAAUGUGUAAGUAACUAUGCACGUCUUGACGGUACCUAAACAGAAAGCCACGGCUAACUACGUG